CCUGAGCCUUGUCUUUGGUGUCUGGUGCCCAGUAAGUCGUGUUGUUUUAAAGCAGCGUCUCGAUUUCUGCAGCCACCAGAGCUCUCCCCCAUGCUUCUCCCUGUGAUGUGAGACCGCGUCGAAGGCCUUGCAGACGUCUGGUUGGAACCAUGGAAGUGUUACCCAGACAAAAGGAGCAUUUGUCACCUGGGCUUUCUACAAGUGACAGAGACAGCGGAAGUCAGCAUCCGAAACAGCUGCGAGAGCCCUGCAAAAGAAUGGAGAGCUAGACUUCAGCUCCUUCCUGUUUCCUGCCCAUGCGCUCCCUGCUUUGCCCGUGGCCCGGUGAGGUUUUGUUCCUCGCACCCAGCUUGGCACGUGUGGAUAAGGGCCUCUGUUUACGCACGUUCAUUUUCUGCUGGUGGUGUCAGGCUGAGUGACAGCUCACAGCUGAGCUGGUGGUUAGCGAGACGCACGAUGAUAGCUGCAGGUACAGUUCUCUGUGUCACUGACACACGAGCUUUGUGGCGGCCACGAGCCACAGAAACAGGGAGUUUGUGUUUCAUUUCUGCGUUUGCU